rnacentral:rRNA from 1 species
CAGCACCUCAAGUGGUCAGGAUGAUUAUUGGGCCUAAAGCAUCCGUAGCCGGCGCUGUAAGUUUUCGGUUAAAUCUGUACGCUCAACGUACAGGCUGCCGGGAAUACUGCAGCGCUAGGGAGUGGGAGAGGUAGACGGUACUCGGUAGGAAGGGGUAAAAUCCUUUGAUCUAUUGAUGACACCUGUGGCGAAGGCGGUCUACCAGAACACGUCCGACGGUGAGGGACGAAAGCCAGGGGAGCAAUCCGGAUUAGAGACCCGAGUAGUCC